GGUCUUGUGGUCUAGUGGUAUGAUUCUCGCUUAGGGUAUUCCCAAGCACUGUUGCGAGAGGCCCCGCGUUCGAGUCGCGGCAAGACCC